UUAAAUUUAAAGGUCCAACACUAUGUGCAGGAGAUCAUGAGAACUAUGACUUAUUAAGCAACCAGGAUGUCUUCAUACAUCAAACUACUUCUAUUGCCAGGUAUACUUUAAAAAUACUCACUGAAACUUGAGUGAAAUACGCAUGGCAAAGCUUUUAUCAAUAAUUGAAAAGACCAAAAUGGAUUUCAGUUCAUGGUACGAAAUUCAAAGCUGGAUGUGUUUUGUGGGUUAGUCAUGACAAAGAAGAAAUGCCAUGUUUUGUGAUAUUGAAAGAGAUUUUGGUGGUAGAAAGGAAUUUGGAAAGAGCAUGGUUCAUUACUCAGAAACUUGGAACUGUCAAAUUUCAUGAGCAUUUCAGUGCAUAUGAAAUGGUUGACACAACUGAGCUACAGAUAAUUAAACAGCAAGAGCUACUAUACCCAUUGCCACUGCAUUUGAUUAAUAUUUCAGUUCAUGGGCAAAACAAAAUAUUUGUGUGUCCAAAAUAUCAAAUACCUGUUAUUUAAGGAACAAAACUUUGCAUUUUUACGUUGAAUUAAAAGGCGAGCAUAAUAUGAAUUAAAACAUAAUCAGAAGCAUAAA